AUUGAACGCUGGCGGCAGGCUUAACACAUGCAAGUCGAGCGGGGUGAUGGUGCUUGCACUAUCACUUAGCGGCGGACGGGUGAGUAAUGCUUAGGAAUCUGCCUAUUAGUGGGGGACAACAUCUCGAAAGGGAUGCUAAUACCGCAUACGUCCUACGGGAGAAAGCAGGGGAUCACUUGUGACCUUGCGCUAAUAGAUGAGCCUAAGUCGGAUUAGCUAGUUGGUGGGGUAAAAGCCUACCAGGGCGACGAUCUGUAGCGGGUCUGAGAGGAUGAUCCGCCACACUGGGACUGAGACACGGCCCAGACUCCUACGGGAGGCAGCAGUGGGGAAUAUUGGACAAUGGGGGGAACCCUGAUCCAGCCAUGCCGCGUGUGUGAAGAAGGCCUUAUGGUUGUAAAGCACUUUAAGCGAGGAGGAGGCUCUUUUGGUUAAUACCCAGGAUGAGUGGACGUUACUCGCAGAAUAAGCACCGGCUAACUCUGUGCCAGCCGCCGCCGUAA
rnacentral:rRNA from 1 species